GUCUCUAGCAGACUGAGAACCAGAACCACCUUUGCACGCUGUAUAUGAGAAGAUCUGCAUCAGCCUGUGAAUACUGUGAUUUGGGAAGAGACCAGGAAAGUAAAGAGUCAAGAUGAAUCCUCUUUUCCGAAGCUCACCUGAAAUUAAAUCACUUCCUGCAAUGGAGAAGUUCAGGCCCUUUUAGGUACUGAUUCUCUUUUAAAAUUCUCCUGAAAUGUAAAGGAAAAAAUGAUUCUGAUGUAGGAUUAUAAGAGUCUCAUGAAAGAAGUAUGGGGAGCCUGCAGAUCUUCUCUUUUCCCCUUUCCCUUGAGCUGGGCUAAAGUAGCCUUACAGAAAAACACUCCAAAAUGUCAUCUACCCAUGGGCUUGUGGCCCCAUCUCCUUGGCCUGAAUCCAACAGCAACUGGAGCACAGCCACAGGCCUCGUGGAGGAGCUACCAGAGGUCUUUGGAAUGCAGCCCUGUUUCUCCUGAGCAUUUAUCUGCUUCUCAAAUCAUUAAUGAGGAAAGCAGCCAGGAAGCACCAUGCUUAACCUCCUUUUCCCCACCGUGAUGAUCCAGAGAGAUGAUGCUCUGCAGAAGGGCAGAGUGGGAGCAGAGACCCAUUUGCUCAUGAAGAAGGCAAGUGAAGGGGCAGGGGAGGGGAAGGCAGCAGGCCAAAUGAGAAACACUCCUCUAGACGUCUUCCAUCAUUUCAGACUCAUAAAUCACAAUGUAGAUUAAUGAGAAAUUAAUGCAGUGCAGAAAUUACUGGGGGUGAGGAGCUGUCGGUCAGCAACGGGAGUGACUGCAUGUGAGACAAAGCAGUGAAGAUCUCCAAAAAGAGAGAGGGCUCAGCAGCCCGGAUGUGUUCUUUAAUGAGGGAAGACAGCGAGGUCAGCAUGGGAACAAGAUAGCACACGGCUGCAUCUGGGAGACAAAGGGCACUAUUUAAAAAUCCUGUCAAAAGGCUCUCUGGACUGAUUUGUAUUAAAGCCUCUUUCACAUCUACUAAUGAAAAAUCCUCCUGCAUCAAAUCAUAAUGUAUAAGCUUUAAAAGAGAGAGAGUGAGUGUGUGUGUGCACACGAGAGAGAGAGGAAAAAAUCAAAGGGGAAGAGGUUAAUUUCAGUAUGCGCCUCCUCUGUUUGGGGAAAAAAAAUUAACACAGCUGAG
rnacentral:lncRNA from 7 species